UAUGGUCAUAUCACAUUCAAACACCAGUUCUCAUCCAAUCACCAAAGUUAAGCAACAUCAAGCCUGCUCAGUACCUGGAUGGGUGACUGUUUUGGAAUAGCAGGU